rnacentral:rRNA from 1 species
GAUGAACGCUAGCUACAGGCCUAACACAUGCAAGUCGAGGGCCCGGGGCACGGGAGAGUAACAUGUAUCCCUCCUUCCCUUUACUCGGGGAUAGCCUUUCGAAAGAACGAUUAAUACCCGAUAUAAAGGAUGGGGAUGCGUUCCAUUAGGUUGGUGGUGAGGUACCGGCUAACCCAGCCUUCGAUGGAUAGGGGUUAUGAGAGGAAGGCACCCCAGAUUGGAACUGAGACACGGUCCAAACUCCGACGGGAGGCAGCGGUGAGGAAUAUUGGUCAAUGGGCGGUAACCCGACCCAGCCAAGUAGAGGAAAGGAGGAAGGCUUAUGGGUCGUAAACUUCUGUUAUAUAAGAAGAUGUAUUAGAUGAAGAAGGAUCGGCUAACUCCGUGCCAGCAGCCGCGGUAAUUC